ensembl:lncRNA
AUGGUGCUCAGCUUGUCUACGUGGGUACUGUAUCUUGCUCUCUAUAUUUUUCCUCACAUGGGGAACUACCUGCCUGUAGUAUUACUCCUGUUAAAACCAGGGAAUGGUAUGAGAAUUGCUUUAAUGGUUCAUUAUGUCUACAGCAUAAUAACCUGCGAGGCGAUGAAUACCAUUUGGAGUAUAUACUCAGUUUUGUUUGGCUGUCCUAGUCUGGGCUCCUGUGUCUGGGAUCUCCUCAACAAUCGCACCCAGCCCCUGGUGGGAGGAGUAGAGAGUGGUUUCUUCCAGCCUUUCAGGCCAGGCACAGCAGUUUUUGAAAAUAUUGAAUUCCCUCUGGAUGUCAAAGACGGCAUAAACUUGCUGUCAGUUCUGCUUUGUCUUCUCUGUACAGCCUGCAUCAUGUACACCAUGCUUAGAAUCAGAGCUAUGGCACAGCAUCCUCAGGAUGAGGGAGGGAAAAAGAGCAGAGCAACAAACACCAUGCCUACGCAGACUGACACAGAGGAGAAAGGAACCAAAUGCAAAGCAACAGCGUCCAUGUCCACGCAGACUGACACAGAGGAGAAAGAACCCAGAUGCAAGACAACAGUGUCCAUGUCCAUGCAGACUGACACAGAGGAGAAGGGAACCAAAAGCACUGUCAGCGUCCCCAUGCAAACCAUCACUGAACCAGAACAGCCUAAACCAAUUGCAGUUGCCCCCGUUCAGAAGAAGAAAUCAAAAAGCAAAUCAGUCCGCAUUGUGACUGACGAGGAUGCAGCAGGACCUUCGCACCCAGCAGAAGAAGCAGAACCGGAGAUCAUCACUCGGUCACUAUCCCUGGGUGAGCUGCGUGACCUGCGGAGGGAAUUCACCCGCCAGACAAACGAGUCUAUCCUGACCUGGCUGCUUUGCAUCUGGGACGCUGCAGCCAAUGACACCGUUCUGGACGGAAGUGAGGCCAGGCAGCUGGGAUCUUUGUCCCGGGAUGUGGUCAUUGACCAGGGGAUCGGGAGAACCCAAGAAGCUCUCAGCCUCUGGCGGCGACUGCUUACAAGUGUAAGGGACAGGUACCUUUGUAAAGAAGACCUCCAGGUGCACCAAGGAAAAUGGAGCACAAUGGAACAAGGUAUCCGGUGUCUGAGGGAAUUGGCUGUGCUGGAGAUAAUUUUCUCAGAAGAUGAGAGAUUUCCUAAGAGCCCAGAUGGCGUCCAGUGCACAUCAGGGAUGUGGUUGAGGUUUGCACGCCUUGGACCAGAGGUAUACUCCCGUUACCUGGCAACACUGCAAUGGAGGGAAGGCGAGGACAGGGUGGGUGUCUUGGUGAACAAACUGAGGAUUUACAAGGACACCGUCACAGCCCCGUUUCGCACCCAUGUCUCAUCCGUGGAAACAAGUCUUUUGGCUGAGCAAGUCCGGAGCUUGAUUGAAGAAGGCCAUCAGAAAUUGAAAAAGGAACUUAAGGAAGAGAUUUACCCGAUCUCGCCAGAACCAACAAGAGUCUCUGCCAUUAGGAGCCGGCGUCCCCCAGCCAGGGAGAGAGGAUACACCCCACGAGGUAACCUCUGGUUUUUCCUUCAGGAACAUGGAGAAGACAUGAGUAAGUGGGAUGGAAAACCCACCUCCUCCUUAGCAGCUCGGGUAUGUGAACUAAAAAGAGGGACAACUACCACAAGAAGCGCAUCUAGAGUCAAUAUUGCUCCAGUCUUCCGCACACAGAACUCCAGACGGUACCGGAAUGAUAAUAUGACCGAUCCUCUUGAAGGGACCUCAGGAACGUAUUCACCGGAAGGGAGCAACAUGUAA